rnacentral:rRNA from 1 species
CUACGGGCCGCACCAGUGGGGAAUAUUGGGCAAUGGAGGAAACUCUGACCCAGCGACGCCGCGUGCGGGAUGAAGGCCUUCGGGUUGUAAACCGCUUUCAGCAGGGAAGAAGCGAAAGUGACGGUACCUGCAGAAGAAGCACCGGCUAACUAUGUGCCAGCAGCCGCGGUAAUACAUAGGGUGCAAGCGUUGUCCGGAAUUAUUGGGCGUAAAGAGCUCGUAGGUGGUUCGUCACGUCGGAUGUGAAACUCUGGGGCUUAACCCCAGACCUGCAUUCGAUACGGGCGAGCUUGAGUAUGGUAGGGGAGUCUGGAAUUCCUGGUGUAGCGGUGGAAUGCGCAGAUAUCAGGAGGAACACCAAUGGCGAAGGCAGGACUCUGGGCCAUUACUGACACUGAGGAGCGAAAGCGUGGGGAGCGAACAGGAUUAGAUACCCUUGUAGUC